AACUUUGAAAUCAAUAAGCAUUGCUUGGAAUUCUAGAGAAGGUCUUAUGUGAAACGUUUCAUAUAGUUUUGGGCCACAAUAUAAUUUUAUAAAGUUUUAGGGCCAAACUAUAAAUUUUAAAAAAUAGUUCACUAUAGCAGUCACUGUAGCAAACGGCUAACCGACAUCUUGAUAACGGUUAACCGACAUCAAACAGAAUUGAAGCUUAACCUCUUGGACACUAACGGCGAUCCGACAUCUUGAAAAUGGUGAUCCGACAAUUUGAAAAUUUAGCCCAACAGUCAUAUUGACCAGUUAAAACGAUGAUCUAAUAUCUAGUUAAUGGCGAUCCGAAAGUGAGCAGAAAGUCAAUAACAGCUAGUUUUUAGCUUCAACUAUAAAUAAGCUCAAUCAAAUUCAAACUUCAAUAAUUCCAACAAUUAUCAUUGAGCAAAAUAUUGAGCAGACAACUUUCAAAUCCUUGUAUUCAUCUCAUUCAUUCACACAUUGAGCUUUCAUUUGUGAUCAAACACAUUGUGUGAGAGAAAUUCAUUUGUAAUCUUUUUUGUAAAAUCAAGUUAAAAGAUUGUAAGUGUUGGGAUACAUUUAGGUUAAGAUAUUGGGGAUAAUCUCUUGUUGUGAAGGUCUAUUGACACCUUGGAAGUCAAUUGUAACCAUUUGAAACCUUAGAGGCUUACUGAGUGAAAUCCUUAAGCUUGGUGAGCUUGGAAGCAUGGACAUAGGCGGGGAUUGCCGAACCACGUAAAACUCAUUGUGUUUGUUCUCUCUUCCAUUAUCUUUUAUUAUUAUGCUUUAUUAAAUUUAUUUUUUUUUAAAAUUUCAUUAAGGGAAUAGAUUGAAUUGUUAUGUGUUUUGUUUAGCUUAAGUUUUAAAAUUCCAAUUCACCCCCCUCUUGGGUUGCUUAAAUAGUACUUUAUUUGGUAUCAGAGCAAGGUGCUCUUGUGUAGAUUUAACCUCUAGAGUAAAAGAUUCAUGGCAAUCCAAAAUGACUUAACUUUUAGAGAAAGACAAUCCACAACUAGACUACUGUUCUUUGAUAGUAAUUGCUACCCAUAUUGGAAACUUAGGAUAAGAAUUUACUUGCAAGCCUUAAAUUAUGAAAUUUGGGAAGUUAUUUGUGAUGGACCAUGCAUGCCUAUAACAAAAAAUGAAGUAGGAGAUGAUAUUCUAAAACCUUCAAGUUAAUGGAGUAAGUUAGAGAAGAAAAAGACGUCCUUAAACUCCAAGGCAAUGAGUGCAUUAUUUUGUGCUUUAAAUAAGAAAGAAUUUCAUAGAGUUUUUAGUUGUGAAAGUGCUUAUGAAAUUUGGAAGAAACUUGAAGUUGUAUAUGAGGGAACAAAUCAAGUCAAGGAGGGCAAAAUUAGUAGAUUCACUAGGCAAUAUGAGAUGUUUCAAAUGGAAUCAUAUGAGAAGUGAAAAAGUGAAGAAAAUUAUUAGAUCAUUGACGAAAGAGUGGAAACCAAAGAGAACGACCAUAGAAGAAGCAAAAAAUCUUAAUACUUUAUCACUUGAUGAUCUUAUUUGUUCACUUAUUUCAUAUGAAGAAGAUAUAGCUAAUGAAAGAAUUGAUGAAGAUAAAAAGAAGAAGAGCUUUGCUUUUAAAUCUUCUAUAAUUGAAAGUGAUGAUGAUGGAAGUGACUUUGAAGAUGAAGGCAUUGAGAUGAUUGCUAGAAAGUUUAAAAGGAUCUUUAAGAAGCAAAUCAAGAGAAGAAACUUUAAAGAUCUCAUGAGAGAAAACCUUAAGGUGGAGAAAUAGAAGAAGGAGGCAAUUGUUUGUUUUGAAUGCAAAAAGCAUUGCCAUAUAAGAUCGGAGUGUCCACUUCUCAACAAACUCAAUAAGAAAGUCAUAGUGGCUACUUGGGACGAUAGCGAUGAAGAAUCGAGUGAUGAAGAAGAUUCGUAAGAAGUGUCAAACCCAGCACUUAUAAUAAUAGGAGAUGACGAACUUGAUGAGAUAAGUGAUCCUACCUAUGAUGAAUUAUAUGAUGCUUUUAAAGAAUUGCAUGAUAAUUGGAUAAAAACUGGUAAAAAGAAUGUAUGUCUUAAAAAGAAAAUGAUAAAGCUCACAAAUGAAAAUGAAUCUCUAAGUGCAAAGAUUACAUGCCUAGAAUUAGAAAAUAAAACAUUGCAUGAUAGAGUUGCAUUAUCAAAUGAGAAACCUAGCACUUCGCACAAGCAUCUAGAAUCACAUGUAGAUGACUUGAAAAAUAAAAAAGACGCCCUGCAAAAAUGCAAUGUUUCAUUAAAUGAAAAGAUCAAAGAAUUGGAAUUAGAUAAUGAAAUGUUACAUGAUAGGAUUGUAUUGUUUAAAUAUAAAUAAAGUACUUCAUAUAAGCACGAGAAAUCACAUGUUGAUGAAUUAAUGAAAGAAAAUGAAGUGCUUAAGAAGAAGAGCAAUGAGUUAAAUGAGAUUGUCUUAAAAUUUACAAAUGGGCAAAAGAUGUAAGAUAACUUGCUUAAUUCACAAAAAUGUGUGUUUGACAAAGGAAGUAUUGGUUAUAAGCCUAAUUUGAAACAAAAGUAUUAUAAGAACUAUUUUAUGAAGAGUACCUCUAUUAAUGAUCAAAUUGUAUGUCAUUAUUGCAAUCAAAAUGGUCAUAUGAGUUUUAGAUGUCCAGUUAAGAGAAAUGUAUAUUUUGGAGUCAAAUGUAUUUGGGUUCCAAAAGGAACCAAAUCUAAAACUCAAGGACCCAAGAGUAUUUGGGUACCAAAAAGCACAACUUGAAUAUUUUUUUUUAUAGGUACUAUAAUCAAGAAAUGAUGGAGAAUUUCUUGAUGAAAGCUUGUGAGAAUAAUCAUUAGAUCAUGAUCUAAGAGAAAAUGAUGAGUAAGAUGAUUUAAUUGUUUUGGUAAUAAUUCUUACCAUAUUGAUUUUAUUGAAUGGAUCAUGAUGGAUGAAUAAUAGCUUGAAUUUGCGAAAGCAUGCUCAUACGUUUACAUAAAUGAAUUAUUAUUCUGUGUAAUUAUGAUGCAUGGAUAGAUAUAUAUAAUGGUAGCUUGCCAACUUAUCAUGAUGCCUUUGUUUGAUUUUGAUGAUUGUAUGAUCCUUGGUUUCAUCUUUUAAAUUGUCUAUCAUUAUGUUUAAUGUUAUUUUUUCAUCUUCCUUAUUUGUUCAUCACUUAUGUAUGUGUGAAUUCAUAUGUCAUUUAUUGUAUUCUAUCAUCAUUCAUUAAAUUGGCCUAUGUGAGCAUUUGUAAUAAUGGAUUUGAUUACUUGUUCUUUACUCAUAAUGAUGGCUUUUCUUAAUAGCUAUGUUUAUUUUGAUGAUCUAUAUAUUGUCAUUAUGUACUUAUGCUUUACUUAAGUUUUGAUGAUAAAGAAUGUGCUUUGAUGAUUACAUUGUAUCUGAUGAAGUUUGAUCUUAUGCAAUCUAUGAUUGGUGAAUGGAUACAUUUUUUGUACUUUAUCGAUGUAUUGUUGAAUGUGCAACUUGUUUUAAAUGAUAUCGAAAGGGGGGAAAAUACAUAUACUUCAAGAAUUUUCAGCAUAUAAGAUUUUUUAAGUUAUAUUGAAUAUCACAUUAGAUAUUUGAUGAGUUUAGUUGUCUUGAUUUCUAAAGUGUGAUUAGUAAUUAUGGAACUCGGAUAGUUGAUAUUGAAAUGUUCCAUUAGAUCUUUGAUGAGUUUAGUUGUCUUGAUUUCUAAAAUGUGAUUAGUAAUAAUGGAGCUCGGAUAGUUGAUAAUAUGUUCUUAUAGCUUUUGCAUGCCAAUUUCGUAAACAAAUCAAAACCUCUUUGCGAAGAAUAUUUUUCAAAAAUUCAGCACGAACUUAGGAUGAUUUGAUUUCUUGAUGAUUUUGAUGAUUGAUAAUUAUAUGUGCGUUGCUUGAUGAAUUGAUAGAGUUGUUAAUUUUUUAUAAUUGUUUAAGCUUAUAUGGAAGUGUUUUUAAUCAUUUUGUGUAUUUGAGGAUUUGUUUAUUUUUAAGAGGAGAUUCUGCCGAAAUUUUUGCUCGCACAAAAUGGGUAGUAUCUUCAUCGAAAUAUUUUUUAUGAUCUUGUUUCGAUUGUGACACGACUCAAAAGUGUUAUUACUCCCAAAUAUAAGAGUGUCUAGUUAUAAUAUAACCCCGUGUGUCCGGGGUCGAACCAUAAGGAAUUUAAAAUCUAGUAGUCAAUUUAAAACAAAGAAAAUUAAUUGCGGGACAAAGAAAUUAUUUGAAAUUAAUUUAAAAAUGAGCUAAAGCUACGGGAUCCACUCUCAGUAUUCAAACUAUAAUUUUAAUACCCUCUCAUUUUUAGCCUCACUUUUACCAAUUAAUUAUUAUAUCAUUUAAUUCUCAACUAACUAUGUGUGUGGAUAAAUAUGAAAUAAAGUACCUAAUGUGCCACAAUUAAUGUGUCGAUAUUAUAUUAAAAUACCAUAAAAUUCAGUGAGAUUUAUAAAUUAACAUGAUAUAAAAAUAACUAGAAAAAAAUAAAAUAAACUUAAAAACUCAUUUAAGAAAAUAAUAAAUGUAAUAGUUUGAAACAUUUAAUUUCACCCUUCACCUCAGCUUAAUAAAAUUAGCCACUCAUAUUGAAAGAAAACACAACACUCUUUUUAUUUGAUAAACUUUUGAAAAUAUGUUACAAAGAAAAUUGAUACAGACGGAAACAAGAAAAGAAACAAAGAAAGAAAGAAAUUCUUCAGCUACACCCUUGGCUAUUCUCUCUCAGAAAUCGGCUCUUUCCUCCCUUCCUCACUUCGUCGACUUUUAUAGGCAACAAUCGCCACCUCUUCAUUCUUUUUAUUCUUAUUUAAUUUAUUAUUAUAUUAUUAUUCUUUUAGAGUCAGAUUCUCAAGACUAAACUGUGCACUUUUCUUUUGUAACAACUUCCACAAAUUUUGAAUUUCACGUUGAACAUAUUCGCUCGGAUGCGUCUCAAGAGAUCGUAAGAUAUCAUCCUAGGAUUCUUUACUCAUGCCAUCCUUAACGAAUUUGAUUUUAUCUUCACGAUUUACAGAAACCAUUCCUAAAGUUUUACAACAUGGCUUUUUGCAAGCAAGUUUUACACAGUGAGAACAGUCAGAGCCAAGUCGCUUAGCUCUUCUUUUCUUAGCAAAUGUACUUUUACCAAAACCAGGCGUGUAGGAUGUGAACGGAUCAGAAACCUCACCUGCCAAUCUGACCUUUACUUCAAUUAACCAUCGAAUGUCAGCAGGAAUCUCAUUGAUCAUUAACAAACGCAGUCGUUCACAACGAGCUUUGUAAAUCUUCUUAAGAACAUUUUGAGAGAGAGAAGGAAAACAUUGAUGCAAUUUUCGUUGUAUUUCUUCCAUGCCUGACAUUGAGGUUUCAGUUAUUGUGGAAAACUGAGAAUACCGACUUAAAAAGUCACGGAGUACCGUUAUCCGCCAUUUAUACAGGAGAGUGAAUCAAGACAAAAUGAAUCAAAUCUGCAAAAUCAAAUCAAAAGUGAAGAAGAACAACAAAAUAAAACAAAAACACACAAGGAAUAUAACUCACCUUCGUCCUUUUAUUGAAUUUACCUCCAGCUCCAAUUGCAGAUUAUAAAUACCAUCCUCUAUUUCCUUGAGUUGUCUUUCUAGAUCUUUCACGUGGGAUACUAACUCUAGUGGUUGUAGAUCCCAAAUGGGAUGUGAUUUACAAAAUCGGAGUAAUUUCCUCAGGUGAAAUUUUACGUGUAAAAGCGCUUUAAGAUGAUCGAAAAGGAAAUUUCUCAUGGAGGCACUCAUGACAAGUAUAAAAAAUUGGUGAGCUAAAUCACAAUUGUCAAACAACACACAAUAAAAAUAAUACAAUGCACUCCAUUCAAGACAUAGAGAUAAGGAAAAAGAAAAAAAAAUCAAACAAUUCAAAUGAUAGAGUAACAGUAAAUCAAAUUCAAAAAAAGUUAAAAUUAAAAGGCUUAAUUAAAAUUUAGUGGGUCACUCAAAUUGAUUUCGGUAUCUGCUUCAUGUGGUUGGUAUUCCAGAUAUGGUUUCAAUUUUUGGCCACUAACUUUAAAUGUGACACCAUCCUUUGGAUUCUCGAUUUCUACGGCUCCAUAUGGAUACACAUUUUUUACAACAAAUGGACCAUUCUAUUUUGACUUUAACUUUCCUAGAAAUAAAUAAAGACGAGAAUUAUAAAGCAACACUAUUUGAUCAAUUUAAAAUGUUUUCCGAAAAAAUUUUUGUCAUGAAAAAAUUUGGUUCUUGCCUUAAUAAUUCUAGAAUUCUCAUAUGCAUCGUUUCUUGAUUCCUCAAGUUUAUUUAAUUGCAAUUUACAUACAUUACCAGCAUCAUCAAGAUUUGAAUUAAAAGCUUUAAUGGCCCAAAAUGAUUUAUGUUCAAGUUCUACUAGUAAGUGGCAAGAUUUUCUAUAAACAAGCCGAUAGGGUGACAUUCCUAAAGAUGUUUUAAAAGCAGUACGAUAUGCCCAAAAUGCAUCAGUUAGUCGAAGAGACCAAUCUUUAUGGUUUGGAUUCACUGUCUUUUCUAAAAUUUAUUUUAUCUCCCUAUUUGCUAAUUCAACUUGACCACUUAUUUGAGGGUGAUAAGGGGUAGCAACCUUAUGUGUAAUUCCAUAUUUCUUUAUUAAGGACUAAAAUGACUUAUUACAAAAAUGCUUACCUCCAUCACUGAUAAUGGCUCGAGGUAUUCCAAAUCUGCUCAAAAUAUUUUCUUUUAAAAAGCGGAUCACAAUCUUGUGAUCAUUGUGCCGAUAAGGAAUCGCCUCGAUCCAUUUUGAAACAUAAUCAACAGCAGCCAAAAUGUAUACACAUCCAAAUGAUGAUGGAAAAGGGCCCAUAAAAUCAAUUCCCCAACAAUCAAAUAUUUCAAUGACAAGGAUGAGGUUUAAAGGCAUCAUGUUUUGCUUUGAAAUAGACCCUACCAUUUGACAAUUCUUACACAUUUUACAGAAUGCACGUGAAUCUUUAAAUAAUGUAGGCCAAUAAAAUCCACACUGCAAUAUUUUUGCAGCUGUCUUUUUUGAAGAAAAAUGGUCACCGCAUACUUCAAAAUGACAAAAUUGAAUGACCCUACUUACCUCGUCGUCUGGUAUGCAUCUUCAAAAAAUUUGAUCAGAGCAGUAUUUGAACAAGUAUGGAUCAUCCCAGUAAAAGCUUCUCACUUCUAUUAAGAAUUUCCUCUUGACUUGGGAACUCUAGUCACAUGGCAUUUCACCUGUCACAAGAUAAUUAACAAUAUUAGCAUACCAGAGCAUUUUAUUUAUAGAAAACAAAAUUUCAUCAGGAAAAGAAUCAUUGAUGGGUGUUGUUUCAAUUGAAGACUCAUUUGUAAGUCUUAAAAGAUGAUCUGCAACAAAAUUUUCAGCACCCUUUUUGUCAUUGAUUGUCAAAUUAAAUUCUUGAAGUAGCAAAAUUCAUCGUAUCAACCUUGGUUUGGCAUCCUGUUUUGACAUUAAAUAUCUCACAGCAGUAUGAUCAGAAUAAACAACAGUAGAUGAACCAAUUAAACACGAACAAAAUUUAUCCAAUGCAAAUAGUACAGUAAGUAAUUCUUUCUCAAUUGUAGUGUAAUUCAUUUGAGCACUAUUCAAAGUUCUACUUGCAUAAUAGAUGACAAAGGGCUUACCUUCAUUUCUUUGACCCAGAACAACGCCAGCGACAUAAUCACUAGCAUCACACAUUAGCUCAAAAGGUAAAGACCAAUCAGGGGGUUGCAUUAUUGGGGCUGAUGUCAAAAGAGUAGUUAUUUUUUCAAAAGCUUGUUGACAAUCUUUAGUCCAUUCAAAAGAUGUCUUUUAUUAGGAGGUUACAAAGUGGUCUAGAUAUGGUACUAAAGUUUUAUCCCAAGUUCUGAUGGAUCCUGACCUAAGAUUUUAUAGCCAAGUUUUAUCUUUAUCCUUUAGUGAGAAAGGAAAAAACUUAAGCCCGAUUAUAUUCAUGUUACAAUUUUGAUCAGUACAUGUGUUACAGACUUCCUCAAAUUCCCUUAAAUGCAAAUAUGGAUUUUCAGACUCAAAACCAUGAAAAGUAGGAAGAAGUUGAAUGAUACUAGGUUUGAAAUUAAAACAUGAUGCAUCAGGAGGGAAAACUAUGCAUGAUGGUGACCCUAUUCUAGUAGGAUGCAUGAAGUCUCUAAGAUUCCUAGGCUGUUCAUGAGGAUUUUGCAAGGCUUGGUCAUUUUUGUGCUCCGAAAAAUUUUCAGCUCCUGUGUUAGCCAUAUCUAAGGGUGGUGAAGGUGAUCUUCUAAUUAAUCUGCCACUAUUUGUGCGAGACCAACGACGCAUGCAAUGCUAAUGAUGUGUGCUAAACCAAUGAUGCAUAAAACGCUAAAUGAAAAUUACAGAAAUAAAAAUAAACUGGAAAUUAAAUAAGCAAAAUAAAAAUAAAAAUAAAAAUAAACAAACUGAAAUUAAAUAAAUAAAUAAAUUAGGCGCUGAAACAAGCCAUAAACAAAGAAAUUAAAAGAAACAGUUUAGGCAGUAUUUUAAAAUCAGGCAUAUAAUAAAACAUAAAAUUAAAUAAAUUAAUGUACAAGAAUAUAUAAACUGAAAUUAAAAUGCUAGGCGGUAGAACCGACUAUAUAAAUAAAAAUACAUAAAUUAACAAAAUUUAAAUAACAGUCAGGCGGUAGAACCGAUCAUUUAAAAUAAAUGCAGAAAGUAAAUUGCUUAAAUUUAAAGAAAUAAAUUCGAUUUGGGGACUGAUUUGCAAAGGUUUCUGGGCUAAGAUGAAGUUUCCCAUAAAUUUUAUGGAAAUUAUUAAAGUUUGAAAUGAGGAGGGGUGCUAACUGAAGUUUUGCAAAAAGAGAAUAAAAUAGACUCACGAAAAGAUAGUAACGACAAAAAUAAAAUAAAAUAAAAUAAAAUAAAGACAAACUAACACCAAAUUUAAAAAACUCCCCGACAACGGUACCAAAAAUUUGACAUGACUCAAAAGUGUUAUUACUCCCAAGUAUGAGAGUGUCUAGUUAUAAUAUAAUCCAAUGAGUCCAAGGUCGAACCACAGGAAAUUUAAAAUCUAGUAGUCAAUUUAAAACAAAGAAAAUUAAUUGCGGGGCAAAGAAAUUAUUUGAAAUUGAUUUAAAAAUGAGCUAAGGCUACAAGAUCCACUCUCAGUAUUCAAACUAUAAUUUUAAUACUCUCUCAUUUUUAGCCUCACUUUUACUAGUUAAUUAUUAUAUCAUUUAAUUCUCAACUAACUAUGUGUGUGGAUAAAUAUGAAAUAGAGUACCUAAUGUGCCACAAUUAAUGUGUCGACAUUAUGUCAAAAUACCAUAAAAUCCAGUGAGAUUUAUAAAUUAACAUGAUAUAAAAAUAACUAGAAAAAAAUAAAAUAAACUUAAAAACUCAUUUGAGAAAAUAAUAAAUUUAAUAAUUUGAAACAUUAAGCUUCACCCUUCACCCCAGCUUAAUAAAAUUAGCUACUCAUAUUGAAAGAAAAUACAACACUCUUUUUAUUUGAUAAACUUUUAAAAAUAUGUUACAAAGAAAAUUGAUACAGACGGAAACAAGAAAAGAAACAAAGAAAGAAAGAAAUUCUUCAACUACACCCUUGACUAUUCUCUCUCAGAAAUCGGCUCUUUCCUCCCUUCCUCCCUUCGUCGGCUUUUAUAGGCAACAAUCGCCACCUCUUCAUUCUUUUUAUUCUUAUUUAAUUUAUUAUUAUUUUAUUAUUUUAUAAAUUAAAUGAAUGUUGUGUAGUGUGAUGGCCAGGAGGUAUGAUGGCCUCCUGACCAUCACAGGCAACCAAAGCAUGGUUGCCUUUUGCUCUUUUUAAUUUUUUUUAUUAUAUCUCCUCAAUUGUACUCCAACAGUUCUUCUUUAUUCCUGCUUUCAAUUCUAAUUCCAUCUUUAUUCCUGAAAAAUAUUGAUAAGAUAAAAAUUAACAUAUUGCAAAUUAAUUUAACAUAAAAAUAUAUUUGGAGAGUAUUAAAAUAAUUUAGAAAUAAUGAGCGUAUUAAUCGACACAAUAAGUGUAAAACUAAUAAUGUUAUCUUUAUUACACGUACACUUUUUAGUGUUAAUCAAAUUGCAUCUAUCUAUCUUUUCUUUUUUACGAUGAAGGAGGAGAUAAAUAUGAUAUGUUUUUGGAUAAAAUUAUUUUGGUUAAAAUUUUAAAUUGACCAUAUAUUUAAGGGGAGCAUACAAUAUGAUUUUAGAUAAUAUGCGUUUUGAACUUUUUUGUUGUCCAAAGGGGGAGAUAAAGUAAUAUAUCAUUUCGAUGUUGUCAAAAGGAGGAGAAUGAUAUGCACUUUGAGUAUUGUUUUGAUGAUUGAUAUGUGAUUAUGGUGAUGAUUUUGAUGAUUUUGGGAUAUGAUGAUGAUUUGAUUAUAUGGUUGUUUUAUAUGAUAAUUUUAUGUUAUGAGUUGUUGAUUUGGUAAUUGAUGGACUAAUGGUUCAUAAUCAUUUUAUGGUUGAUGGAUUGUGUGAUGAUUUGUAUAUGGAAUUGGCUUGUAUCAUGAUUUAUAAUAAUUUGGGAGUAAUAUUAUUAAACUUGUAUUUGAGGUAAUGCUUGUUAUUAGGAGGAGAUUCUAUCAAAAUUUCUACUCGGACAACAUGGGUAACAAAUUUGCUACUCUUUUUUCUUUUCCAGUAAGUUUUCUUUUUGAUGAUGAAUGGGAAGAAAAAUACAUGUAUUAAAAUUUUUUAAUUUAGCUAAAUUGUAAGAGAAACUUACAUUUAGGGGGAGUAAUUUGUGGAAUCAUUCUUUAAAUACAUGAAAAGUUUGUCAUCAUCAAAAAGGGAGAGAUUGUUAACAUUUAUGUAUCCAUAAUGUUGAUUUUGAUGAUAACAAACAAAAUUAAGAAUUAUUAAGUUUUUAAGAGUUCAAAUUAUUUUUUAUACAUUUUAAAUAAAUCAUUAUUUUCACAUUAUAAAAGUUUUAUAUUUAAUGGAAAAUUGAUUUUACAAAAUUGAUUAUUUUUCAAGUUUAUGGUCUAAUUAAAAGAGUUUUGAGAAUUUUGAAAUCAACAAGUAUUGCUUGGAAUUCUAGAGAAGGUAUUAUGUGAAACGUUUCAUAUAGUUUUAGGCCAUAAUAUAAUUUUAUAAAAUUUUAGGGCCAAACUGUAAAUUUUAGAAAAUAGUUCAUUGUACAAAUGGUUAACCGACGUCUUGAUAACGGCUAGCCGACAUCGAACAGAAUUGAAGCUUACCUUCUAGACGCUAACGGCGAGCCGACAUCUAGUAACGGCGAUCCGACAGUGAGCAGAAAGUCAAUAACAACUCGUUUUUAGCUCCAACUAUAAAUAAGCUCAAUCAAAUUCAAACUUCAACAAUUCCAACAAUUAUCAGUGAGCAAAAUACUGAGCAUACAACUUUCAAAUUCUUAUAUUCAUCUCAUUCAUUCACACAUUGAGCUUUCAUUUGUGAUCAAAUACAUUGUGUGAGAGAAAUUCAUUUGUAAUCUUUUUUGUAAAAUCAAGUUAAGAGAUUGUAAAUAUUGGGAUACACUUAGGUUAAGAGAUUGUGGAUAAUCUCUUGUUGUGAAGGUCCAUUGACACCUUGUAAGUCAAUUGUAAGCAUUUGAAGCCUUAGAGGCUUGCUUAGUGAAAUCCUCAAGCCCGGUGAGCUUAGAAGCGUGGACGUAGGCGGGGAUUGCCGAACUACGUAAAGAUCGUUGUGUUUGUUCUCUCUUUCCUUAUCUUUUAUUAUUAUGCUUUAUUAAAUUUAUUUAUUUUUAUUUCAUUAAGGAAAUAGAUUGAAUUGUUAUGUGUUUUGUUUAGCUUAAGUUUUAAAAUAUCAAUUCACCCCCCUCUUGGGUUGCUUAGAUAGUAUUUCAGAAUAUGCCUCUGUGAUACAGGGAUUUACCUUUCCAUGUGUGAGACCUAUUUUUUCAAUUUAUAAAGAUCUCGAGGGUUCAUAGAAAAUACCUUUUUUUAGUGUCAUAGCUGCGUUACAAGAUAAAAUUAGUAGUUUGACACAUAUAUAUCUAUUGAAUAAUACUUUUUGUUAAUAAAGAGGCGAUUCAUGCACCUCAUCUGAAUGGUUACAGAAUUAGUAGUUCUCCAAUUGAAUGGGAUCCCUCGGAGUCAUAAAAGGCUUCCUCUUGAAUUGUCAUCAUAGUAUAAAAUAAGAAAUAAAAGCAAAGUAAAAACUGCAAGAGUUAAUAGAUAUACCAGCCCCUUUUCGGAGAUUGGCUGUGAAGAUAAUCCCCUAGGUUACUGAUAACAAUUUCGGAGUGUGGCAAUGUUCUAGGGGUGUUUGACUCUUCUUCCAUCGAGGUGCAGCAACAUGUAUGCGCUAGAUUUAAGCACUCAUUUGACCAUACUGGGUCCUUCAUAGUUCGCACUGAGAUUGUCAUCCCCAAUAUCCUUGGUGUUCUAGGUGUCCCGGCAGAGCAUUAGAUCUUCUUCAAUGAAGGCAUAAGGAUGAACCUUCUAAUUGUCUAGUUUCUUCUUUAUAAGUGCUUGACGGCUUUAUUGGCGACCCUACUUGCCCAUUUGAUUGGCAAUGGGCUAGAAAGACAAAUCAAUUGGCGAUCCUUAGAUUAGUGCAAAAAUCUCAAAAACUCUAAUUAUUAAACUGAGUCCCAUUGUCAAUGACAAUCCCUUGAGAGGUUCUAAGUCCUCAAGCCUUGUUUUUAUCCUUGGGGAUAACCCCCUUCUGCAACUAAUUGACUAUGGAGUCCAUCUAAGAUCCCUCAAUGACCACAAAGUUCACCUCAAAGAGAUGAUCCCCGAAGAUGCAGGGUUUGAGUACUCUUUCCACAACGACAAUAUUAGGGAAGAUGACCUCUCAUUUGGACACAUUUCUUGUUAAGCCAUUAACCAUUGGGUUCUCUUCUAUGAGAAUCUCCUCGCUUUCUACUCCUAUGACGCUUUUCUUCAAUUCUUUGACUUUUUUGAGAAUUUCCUAGAAGAUGAGGAGCUCUAUUUGUCAAUAAAGGAUGGAAUAACAGCCUUUUGUUCGAUCCCACGCAGACAAUUCCAAAAUGUUUUGGUUUGAUUUUGGUUUAGCCCAAAAUACUAUGAGAGCUUUUCUGCAGAAAUUGGUUUUCUGGCAAAGAUAAAGACUAGGCUGUCUGGAAACAGUUGUUUGGGGACAGUAACGCUGAGACGAACAUGAAAACAAAGAAACAAGUUGUUAGAGGCAGUGCCAGUGGUUGUUGGCUACGACACUUCGAUGGUCAAGUUAGUAGGAGGUUAAAGGAGGCCAUGAGUUUUUAGAGAAACCCUAUAAUUGUUAGGAUGAAGCGCUUACCAUUGGGCUAAAAGCUUAAGCUAAUAGCCAAGGUGCAACUUUAUUUCCUUAUACAAUGGAAGCGUAGAGCCCCACACUAAGCAGUGGAUGGACAUGAGAGGCUACACACAUUUGUAAUUGUGCCAACGGGCCGGGUAGUUACGCCCUAAGUAACCUUACUGCCACCUCAAUGGAAUUACACAGAAGGAUGUUACACCCACAAGCGCACAGAAGAAUUGUUGGGGCCCCAUAACCUCAAUAAUCCCCCCCCCCCCCGACAAAAUUGCUUCUGUGGCGGCUUGAACCAGUGACCUCACUCUGAUACCAAUUGUUAGGAUCUAGCGCUUACCAUUGGGCUAAAAGCUUAAGCUAAUAGCUAAGGUGCAACUUUAUUUCCUUAUACAAUGGAAGCACAGAGCCCUACACUAAGCGGUGGAUGGACAUGAGGGGCUGCACACAUUUGUAAUUGUGCCAAUGGGCCGGGCAAUUACGCCCUAGGUAACCUUACUGCCACCUCAAUGGAAUUACACAGAAGGAUAUUACACCCACAAGUGCACAGAAGAAUUGUUGGGGCCCCAUAACCUCAACAAUAAUAAUAAAUAUUUAGUGUUUUGUAAGUGAGUGAACUUACUCCCUUGAGAAACCUACCUGACUUUUUAAAGUAAAGUGCCCAUGAGGGCAUCUUUAUGUUCUUUUGGACAUGUGCUGAGCCGUUAUUAGUGAUUUUCCUCCUUAGGCAGGGUCUUAAAGGUAAUUUGGUCCCUCUUAUAUAGGCUUUUAAGCUUGCUUGGAUUAGAUAGUUGUCCAUUGGGUGACAGUCUGUGCUGACAGCAUGUCCUCAACCCUAAUUGGCCCAUUUUGAAUUAACCAAUUGGCCUGAGAAGCACCUAACUUCACUUGAGAUGGUGCAAGUGGUUUUGUGUGUCGUUCCUCUUUCUUAAUUAUGACUUUGACAACUUGUAAAGAGAUAUUCUAGAGACAGUCCAGAUGGGCACUGCGGCAUGGCAUGGUGGCUUUGGCAUGUCUGUCACUGUCUUGUGGUCUUGUAGAAUGCAUUUUUCUGUUACUCUUAGACAAUUUGGAUGGUUGAGGCUAGCUCUUCAAGAUUUUCCUAUUUCAUCUUACCUUUUCUGAAAUGCAAGUUAUGCAACCCAAGAGAGGGGGUGAAUUGAGAUUUUAAAAUUUAUGCAAUACAAUUAGCACAACAAUUUAAUCUAUUGCCUUAAUCAAAUGAAAAUAAUAAAUUCAAUCAAGCACAAUAUUAAAAGAGUAAGGGAAGAGAAAACAAACACAAGGAUUUGUACGUGGUUCGGUUAUCCCCGCCUACGUCCACGUCUCCAAGCUCACCCGGCUUGAGGAUUUCACUAUCCAAGCCUCCCAAGGCUUCAAAUGUUUACAAUUGACUUCCAAGGUAUCAAUGGAUCUUUACAACAAGAGAUUAUAUCCCCAAUCUCUUCACCCUAAGUGUUUCCCACACUUGUACACUCACAAUUUGAUGAGAAAUGAAAAUCACAACAAUGAAACUCUCUUUAAGAGUGGAUAACAAAUUAUAGCUCAAUAAUGAUUCAAUAAAUGAUGAUUUACGAAAUGAAAGCUCAAUAUAUGUUAUAUGAUUUUAUAUUUGCUUGUAUUCGUUCUUAAAAUGAAGUUUGAGUUGAGUUUUUAUAGUGAAAGCCCAAAAACUAACCGUUAUAGGUAAAUUCUAGCUCUCAAGCGGUUAGCCGCUUGAUUAUCCGGCUAGCCGCUUAGGAACAGUAAUAUUACUGUUAUUUUUAAAUUUUAUUACAGUAAUACUGUUCACUAAAAUUAUACUUUGGUCUAAAACUUUCUAUAAUUAUAUUAUAGCCCAAAAUGUCAGAAAACUUUACAAAUAGGUCUAAUUUCAGAACUUCCUAAGAAUAGUUGUCUUUCCCAAACUUUCUGAAAUUAUGAUAUGACCCCAAAGAUUUUAUUGUUUCACACAAAGGUCCUUUUCAACAUAAUACCCAUAUUUUUCAAAGUUCUCAAAACCUUUCACUUUAGUCCAAAAUAUUCAUAAAUUAUAGUAUGGCCCAAAACAUUUCAAAUGUUUGUAAAAACGUCUAACUCCGAAAUUUAAUACUUAUUUAAAAUCAAAGAUUUCAAAUCUUAGCAUUUAAGUCCAAAUUACUUAAAUCCACAAAAUACUUUACUUUAUAAAAAUAAAAUCUUUUAGUUUAUGAAAAGUAUUUAAUUAAAUUAAUCUCUUGAGCUUCUCAAAUGCUAAAUCAUGCAUCAAUUAAAUCAUACCGGCUUUACAAGAAUUUAUCGCACUAAUUGUUCGUUGAGCUCUAAACUAUAUUCUUGAUGUCACCGUUGUCCAUUGAGUGUCUUGAGCUUGAUUUCACUUGAUUCACUUGCAUAAAUAUUAUCCUUUAAAAACUAGUGAAAAUGUGAAAUACAAUAUUUAUUAAAUUUACUUAAGACACAUGUUUGUUAUCAUCAAAAUUACAUUAUGUGUAGCCCUUUAGGCUAACAUUUUCAACAUCGUUUAUCGGGUCCUGAGUCAUACUCCCCAUAUGUCAUUCCCUCAAUAACUCUAGUCUACAUUUUACCACCAACACAUAUAUACAUAUUCUUAAAUGUACAA
rnacentral:lncRNA from 1 species